rnacentral:rRNA from 1 species
AGCACGGUGUAGCAAUACACUGGUGGCGACCGGCGCACGGGUGCGUAACGCGUAUGCAACCUACCCAUAACAGGGGGAUAACCCGGAGAAAUCCGGACUAAUACCCCAUAAUAUGGACGCUCCGCAUGGAGGGUCCAUUAAAGAGAGCAAUUUUGGUUACAGACGAGCAUGCGCUCCAUUAGCCAGUUGGCGGGGUAACGGCCCACCAAAGCGACGAUGGAUAGGGGUUCUGAGAGGAAGGUCCCCACAUUGGAACUGAGACACGGUCCAGACUCC